rnacentral:lncRNA from 1 species
AGAACCUCAAACCAAUCCACUGACGCCAUGAUUUACCUUGCCUCGAGGCCAACUGUUGCUUACGCUAUCUCGAAAUAGAUUACUGAGAACCCUCGAGGGCAGAGCUCCAAGCUAAGUUUCGAGCCUUUGGAAGGCAGUUUCUUCGAGGCACCUUGAUGAAUGUAAAAUCGAACCGUUGAAUUUUGACAUACACAGUUGUACUUUUUGUUUUCUUAAAGAUCAAUCUUUAUUAUCCGAAACUGUUUUCUAUGAUUUUUAUUUAUGAUAUUAAAUUAUUUUAGCUAGAUUCGGGCCAUCUGGAGAUUGUUUCACAUGAGAAGAUUAUUUUAGAGUAUUGAUUUAGCUUCUUUGAUGUAAGUAUCUUGCCUUACUUUGCAUAGGGGAACUACUGUCGCACCCCUUUUUCC